UACGAAGGGGGCUAGCGUUGCUCGGAAUCACUGGGCGUAAAGCACACGUAGGCGGAUUGCUAAGUCAGGGGUGAAAUCCUGGAGCUCAACUCCAGAACUGCCUUUGAUACUGGCGACCUUGAGUCCGGGAGAGGUGAGUGGAACUGCGAGUGUAGAGGUGAAAUUCGUAGAUAUUCGCAAGAACACCAGUGGCGAAGGCGGCUCACUGGCCCGGUACUGACGCUGAGGUGCGAAAGCGUGGGGAGCAAACAGG
rnacentral:rRNA from 1 species